CGAAGUGUAGCUUAACCAAAGCAUUUCGCUUACACCGAAAAAACACCUGUUGAACCCUGGUCACUUCGA
rnacentral:tRNA from 1 species